rnacentral:lncRNA from 1 species
UCGACAAGUUCUGUAAGGAACUUCUCCUCUCAGCUGACCAAUCAGCAGACUUCUGGGUUAGAUACCAGAACAUUUCCCUUUAUACCAUGGAGAUACUAAUUUUGAUCUGAAGAAUCAAGUUGGGGAAGGAAAAGAAUAGGUCAGAAAGGUUAUCCUUUACCCACAAUUCAGAGUGUGCAAACCUCCGAUGAACUCGACCUGUGGAUUCUGUCUGUGGUUUACGGGUCAGUGGUAUCCACAGAGGCCAGAAGAAGACAUCAGAUCUUUAUGAGAUGGAGUAUUAAAGGUGGGUAUGAACUGUCCAACAUGGGUGCUGGGAACCAAAGUUAUGUUUCCUGAUGAGCCAUUUCUUCAGCCCCUCCUUUCAUAUGAGUUA